rnacentral:rRNA from 1 species
AGGCAGCAGUGGGGAAUAUUGCACAAUGGGGGGAACCCUGAUGCAGCGACGCCGCGUGAAGGAAGAAGUAACUCGGUAUGUAAACUUCUAUCAGCAGGGAAGAUAGUGACGGUACCUGACUAAGAAGCCCCGGCUAACUAC